rnacentral:lncRNA from 1 species
GUAUACACCAAUUCAGAUUUUAGAUAUAAACUGAAUAGUAUUGUUCUAGAACAAUGUUAAGUCAACAUUAUCUGAUCAAAGCGCCUACUUGCUCAAGGCUUUUUGCAUACAUAAAAACACAUAAAAAUCCGAUAACAGCUAGGCCUAUAGUAGAGAAAAAUCUAUGUCCCUAUCUAUAACUUAGAAAGGAAAAUAGUAUCAUGGGUGAUGAGGAUUAUGGGCCAAACAAUUAAUUCAACCACGAUAACAACACAAGCCCUUGCAAGAUUAAGAGAAAUCCAAUUGGAAGACGGGGAUCUUAUAGCAACGUUUGACUAUGAAAACUUAUAUCCCUCCUUGGAAAUCCAGCCUACAUGCCUAGCAUUCUAUAGGUUUCUCCUCACUAAUGUACAAGAUUCACAACGUAAAGCACCAUUGCUCAGAGAUUUAGCAUACCAUAUACCAUAAAUCAUAUUUUACUUUUAAAGGGAAUUAUUAUAUGCAGUGUAAAGGAGAGCCUAUAGGAAGUCCCAUGGCAGAAAUUGUACUAAGGAAGCAGAGGCUAAAGUCCUAGGUAAGCUACAAAGUGGCAUGAAAUUCUAUUUACGCUACGUCAAUGAUAUUUUAACAGUAUGGAACAAAGGACAGGAUCCAAAAAUCAUAACGGAGCAUUUAACAAUAAAUGUGUAUGGCAUAGUAUUGAAAGAGC